CCUUCCUACGGGAGGCAGCAGUGAGGAAUAUUGGUCAAUGGGCGAGAGCCUGAACCAGCCAAGUCGCGUGAGGGAAGACGGUCCUAUGGAUUGUAAACCUCUUUUGUCGGGGAGCAAAAAGACUACGUGUAGUCCCAAGCGAGAGUACCCGAAGAAAAAGCAUCGGCUAACUCCGUGCCAGCAGCCGCGGUAAUACGGAGGAUGCGAGCGUUAUCCGGAUUUAUUGGGUUUAAAGGGUGCGUAGGCGGACAGUCAAGUCAGCGGUAAAAAUGCGGUGCUCAACGCCGUACAGCCGUUGAAACUGG
rnacentral:rRNA from 1 species